AUUGAACGCUGGCGGCAGGCCUAACACAUGCAAGUCGAACGGUAACAGGAAGAAGCUUGCUUCUUUGCUGACGAGUGGCGGACGGGUGAGUAAUGUCUGGGAAACUGCCUUAUGGAGGGGGAUAACUACUGGAAACGGUAGCUAAUACCGCAUAUCGUCGCAAGACCAAAGAGGGUGACCUUCGGGCCUCUUGCCAUCGGAUGUGCCCAGAUGGGAUUAGCUAGUAGGUGGGGUAACGGCUCACCUAGGCGACGAUCCCUAGCUGGUCUGAGAGGAUGACCAGCCACACUGGAACUGAGACACGGUCCAGACUCCUACGGGAGGCAGCAGUGGGGAAUAUUGCACAAUGGGCGAAAGCCUGAUGCAGCCAUGCCGCGUGUAUGAAGAAGGCCUUCGGGUUGUAAAGUACUUUCAGCGGGGAGGAAGGGAGGAAAGUGAAUACCUUUGCUCAUUGACGUUACCCGAAGAAGAAGCACCGGCUAACUCCGUG
rnacentral:rRNA from 1 species